rnacentral:rRNA from 1 species
AUGCGGACGGUCCUGUUUCCAGCGUCUGUUCAGUUCUGUAUUGUGCAAAAUUACUGGCCACUAGCAGCACUAUCGGUCGACGUGGUAUUUAGUAGUACCUCCGGGUCAAUUUUGUGUGCCUGUUGCAGCAAUUGUGGUGCACUGACUGGUGCGGGCCGGGGCGCAAAAUGGAAACGAAAACGAAAGGGAAAGGCUCGGUCACAAGAAAGAAAGAAGGAGGCGAUGGCAUGGAGCCAUGGAGAGUUGGAGACCGAGCGCUGGUGUAUGUGUUGUGCUGACUCUGCAGCUAGCUCAUCCGCUUGGCGUGAGCGCAUGUACCUAUCUUAUCUACUGCCGGGUGGUGGAAGCGGACGCGAUGGCGAUGCAUCAUCUCGACCGCAUCUGCUGCAUGCAUUUGUUUGUCAAAGAAAGAAGUUUGUUCCCUACCCUUGGUGCUGUGAUCCAUCCGAGCUAGCCUGA